rnacentral:rRNA from 1 species
CUACGGGGGGCAGCAGUGGGGAAUAUUGGACAAUGGACCAAAAGUCUGAUCCAGCAAUUCUGUGUGCACGAUGAAGGUCUUCGGAUUGUAAAGUGCUUUCAGUAGGGAAGAAGAAUGUGACGGUACCUACAGAAGAAGCGACGGCUAAAUACGUGCCAGUAGCCGCGGUAAUACGUAUGUCGCAAGCGUUAUCCGGAAUUAUUGGGCAUAAAGGGCGUCUAGGUGGUUUACUAAGUCUGAUGUGAAAAUGCGGGGCUCAACUCCGUAUUGCGUUGGAAACUGGUUUACUAGAGUCUUGGAGAGGUGGGCGGAACUACAAGUGUAGAGGUGAAAUUCGUAGAUAUUUGUAGGAAUGCCGAUGACGAAGGUAGCUCACUGGACAAGUACUGACACUAAAGCGCGAAAGCUAGGGGAGCAAACAGGAUUAGAUACCCGAGUAGUC